UACAGAGGUGGCAAGCGUUGUUCGGAAUUACUGGGCGUAAAGGGCGCGUAGGCGGCCUUCUAAGUCAGACGUGAAAUCCCCCAGGCUUAACCUGGGAACUGCGUCUGAUACUGGGAGGCUUCGAGUAUGGGAGAGGGAUGUGAAUUCCAGGUGUAGCGGUGAAAUGCGUAGAUAUCUGGAGGAACACCGGUGGCGAAGGCGGCAUCCUGGACCGACACUGACGCUGAGGCGCGAAAGCUAGGGGAGCAAACGGG
rnacentral:rRNA from 1 species